rnacentral:rRNA from 1 species
AACGAACGCUGGCGGCAUGCCUAACACAUGCAAGUCGAACGAGACCUUCGGGUCUAGUGGCGCACGGGUGCGUAACGCGUGGGAACCUGCCCUUAGGUUCGGAAUAACUCCCCGAAAUGGGUGCUAAUACCGGAUAAUGUCUUCGGACCAAAGAUUUAUCGCCUUUGGAUGGGCCCGCGUUGGAUUAGCUAGUUGGUAGGGUAAAAGCCUACCAAGGCGACGAUCCAUAGCUGGUCUGAGAGGAUGAUCAGCCACACUGGGACUGAGACACGGCCCAGACUCCUACGGGAGGCAGCAGUGGGGAAUAUUGGACAAUGGGCGAAAGACUGAUCCAGCAAUGCCGCGUGAGUGAUGAAGGACUUAGGGUUGUAAAGCUAUUUUACCCGGGAUGAUAAUGACAGUACCGGGAGAAUAAGCUCCGGCUAACUCCGUG